AUACGGAGGGGGCUAGCGUUGUUCGGAAUUACUGGGCGUAAAGCGCGCGUAGGCGGAUUGAUCAGUCAGGGGUGAAAUCCCGGAGCUUAACUCCGGAACUGCCUUUGAUACUGUCAAUCUUGAGUUCGAGAGAGGUGAGUGGAAUUCCUAGUGUAGAGGUGAAAUUCGUAGAUAUUUGGAAGAACACCAGUGGCGAAGGCGGCUCACUGGCUCGAUACUGACGCUGAGGUGCGAAAGCGUGGGGAGCAAACAGGAUUAGAAACCCCAGUAGUCC
rnacentral:rRNA from 1 species